rnacentral:lncRNA from 1 species
AUAUAGUGAAUACUAGUGAACGAAGGAUUUUGUUUUAUAAAACAAAAAUUUGUCCGUGGUACAUAAAAAGAAAAUGUGAAAGAAGAAAGACUUGUUUAUAUGCACAUGCACAGAAUGAGUUAAGAGAGUUACCGAAUUUAUGUAAGACAAGUUUAUGUCCUAAACUAAAAAUUAAUGAAUCAUGUAAUGAUAUUAAAUGUAAAUAUGCACAUACAAGUAUAGAAUUAAGAGCUACAGAAAAUUUAUACAAAACCGCAUUAUGUGAGAAUUUUAUAAAAGGAAAAUGUUAUUCUGGUCAGUUUUGUCGAUAUGCUCAUGGUCACGAAGAGCUAAGACACAAUCCAAUAGAGAUAACAGAUAAAAAUAUAAUUAUAGGUACUAGUAAAAUGAAGGGUGAUAAUUCUGAUUAUUUAAAAAAAAAAAAUACAACUAAUGGUAAUCAUAGCAUUAUGGGUAGUAGCAUUAGUCAUAUGGGUAGUAGUGGCAUAAGUCAUAUGGGUAGUGGUAUAAGUCACAUGGGUAGUAGUAAUAUAAGUCACAUGGGUAGUAGUAAUAUAAGUCACAUGGGUAGUAGUAAUAUAAGUCACCUGGGUAGUAGUAAUAUCAGCCAUAUGGGUAGUAGUAGUAGUAAUAUCAGCCAUAUGGGUAGUAGUAGUAAUAUAAGCCAUAUGGGUAGUAGUAAUAUAAGCCAUAUGGGUAGUAGUAAUUUAAGCCAUAUGAGUAGUAGUAAUAUAAGCCAUAUGAGUAGUAGUAAUAUAAGCCAUAUGAGUAGUAGUGGUAUUAAUCGCAUGGGUAGUAACAUUAGUCACAUGAGUAACAGUAUGAGUAGUUUGGGUAGUAUGAAUAGUUUUAAUAGUAUAUGUAGUACAAUAAACACGUUAGACAAAAAAAUAACAAACGAACCUAUUAAUGUUGUAACAAAGAAAAAAGAAACACAUUUUUAUAAUUCUAAUAAGUGUAAUAACAAUAAUAAUAACAAUAGUGGUAGUACCAGUAGUAGCAAUAACAGUAUUACUACUACCAUUAGUAACAGUUGUAAUUAUAAAUGUAAAAAAAAUAAUAUGUUCAUGGAAACUGACAAUUUAUUUUAUAUAAACAAUUUAUUGGAUGGUCAAGUGUUGAGUGAUAGUAAUGUAAUUAUAGAUAAAAAUAAUUACGAGUUAAAUAAGAGAUCGAUAGAAAAUGAAAAUGUGAUGUCUAAAAAUGUACAUACGUGUAAUGAUGUUACUAAGAAUGUUUGUUGCAGUGGUAGUAUCAGUAGUUAUAGUAACAGUAAUAGUAGUAGUAGUAGUAGUAACAAUAAAAGGAGUAUAACUUUAAAUCUUAAUAAACAAAAUGGACAAAAAACUAAUAUGAAUAACAAAAACAAUUGUGAUGGUAAACAAAAUGGUGUUACAGGAAAUAAUAGUAGUAACACAAACAUUGAUGAUAAUACGAAUACUCAAAAUAAUAAAAAAAAUCGACAUGUUAAUAAUAAUGUAAGUAGUUGUAAUGAUACUACAACAAAAAAAGUAGCACCACCAUCAACUGGUAACAAAAAUUACAUAAAGAUGAAUGGUUGUUCAAAUGUAAUAAAAGAAGAACUAAUAAAUGACAAUUUAAAUGUAUUAGGUUUUUUAGAUGAGCAGCAUAACACUAUUUCAUAUAUAAAUAGCAAUAAUAAUAAUAAUAAUAAUAAUAGUAAUAAUAGUAAUAAUAAUAUUAAUAACACGGAUAAUGAAGGUAUUAAUGGUAACAGUAGUAACGAUGUCAGCGACGGUACCAACAACGGCAAUAGCAACAAUAGCAAUAGCAACAAUAGCAAUAACAACAAUAGCAAUAAGAAAAAUAGUAAUAAUAGGAUAUACGUAAAUGCAGUUACGACGAAUAUACAGACAACAAGCGGAAGUGUUUACAAUAAAACGAACUCAAAAAAUAUAAAUAAAAAUGAUAAUAACAAUGAUAGUACAAAUGUAAGCAUUAUCACAGAUACGAUUUUAAAUGCAAAUGUGAGCAAAAAUAUGAAUAAACAUAUGAACAAAAAUGCGAAUAAAAAUG